rnacentral:rRNA from 1 species
AGAGUUUGAUCCUGGCUCAGGAUGAACGCUGGCGGUCUGCUUAACACAUGCAAGUCGAACGGAAGUAGCAAUACUUUAGUGGCGGACGGGUGAGUAACGCGUGAGAAUCUGCCUUCAGGUCGGGGACAACAGCUGGAAACGGCUGCUAAGACCCGAUGUGCCGAAAGGUGAAAUAUUAAUAGCCUGGAGAUGAGCUCGCGUCCGAUUAGCUAGUUGGUAGUGUAAGAGACUACCAAGGCGGCGAUCGGUAGCUGGUCUGAGAGGACGAUCAGCCACACUGGGACUGAGACACGGCCCAGACUCCUACGUGGAGGCAGCAGUGGGGAAUUUUCCGCAAUGGGCGAAAGCCUGACGGAGCAAGACCGCGUGAGGGACGAAGGCUCUUGGGUUGUAAACCUCUUUUCUCGGGGAAGAAUAAUGACGGUACCUGAGGAAUCAGCAUCGGCUAACUCCGUGCCAGCAGCCGCGGUAAGACGGAGGAUGCAAGCGUUAUCCGGAAUUAUUUGGGCGUAAAGCGUCCGCAGGUGGCGAUUCAAGUCUGCUGUCAAAGACCGGGGCUUAACCCAGAAAGGCCAGUGGAAACCUGAACAGUAGAGUGCGGUAGGGGCCAGAGGGAAUUCCCAGUGUAGCGGUGAAAUGCGUAGAGAUUGGGGAAGAACACCGGUGGCGAAAGCGCUCUGCUGGGCCGAAUUGACACUCAGGGACGAAAGCUA